rnacentral:rRNA from 1 species
AUUGAACGCUGGCGGCAGGCCUAACACAUGCAAGUCGAACGAGUGGCGGACGGGCGAGUUAUGUCUGGGACACUGCCUGAUGGAGGGGGAAAACUACUGGAAACGGUCGCUAAUAACGCAUACUAUCGGAUGUGCCCAGAUGGGAUUGGCUAUUAGGUGGGGUAAAGGCUCACCGAGGCGACGAUCCCUAGCUGGUAUGAGAGGAUGACCGGCCACACUGGAACUGAGACACGGUCCAGACUCCUACGGGAGGCAGCAGUGGGGAAUAUUGCACAAUGGGCGCAAGCCUGAUGCAGCCAUGCCGCGUGUAUGAAGAAGGCCUUCGGGUUGUAAAGUACUUUCAGCGGGGAGGCGUUACCCGCAGAAGAAGCACCGGCUAACUCCGUGCCAGCAGCCGCGGUAAUAC